CAGGAGUCCCGAGUAUUACCACACCACGAACUUUCAAGAUGGCGGCAACCUUGUUCAGAGGCUUUCGGCACUUCGGAAGACUGGUGCAAAUAAAGCCGUGUACCAACAAUGUUACUUCGAAAACGAGCAUACGAAGCUUAGUAUAUAUACGUGGGAUUACAAGUAUAGACAAAUCUAGUGUCUUACAUGCAAGGGGCCAGGACGAUUCUUAUCACAAGAGAAAUGUGCAUGUUGGAGGCCAUGCGUACGCGAUCAAGGCAUCGGAACUCUCCAAAGAUAAUGCUAUUGUAAAAGAUUCAGUCGGAUGCCCUAUUUGUAGCAGAAAUAUUAUUUUCUCUUAUAAGGAUGUGCUGUUUCUCUCUCAGUUCCUGUCUCCUGAAGGGAACUUACUAAACAGAAGGCAGACAGGUGUGUGUAAGAAACAGCAGCUGAAAUUAGAAAAUGCAAUCAAACUCUCAAGGAGACUUGUUACAGCUUGAUUCAGCAAUUCACACGUUAGACCAGCGGUGCAGACACUUGACUCGGACCGCAGCGACCCAGAUAUGCAGCAACAAUUAGCCUUUGGGGAAGUCCAGAGUUGUUUUGUUUACUGUUAAAAGGAAAAUAAGUAAUAUAGUGUUUACAUACAUGUUUUUGAGUAGUUUGCGCAUUUGAUAGGUUCUGUGCCGCCUGCCUGGCAAAAAAGCUGCAACAGCAGCCAUUUUGUUUGUGAUUAGAUGCUGUGUGCUUUUUCUUUACAGGUAUGUUUACGGGACCUCAAGAUCUCACGUAAAGUAGAGGCAAUUUAUCGGGAAAGUUUAUGUGCCUGUAAAUUAUUGGGAGUUUUGAGAAACACCAUUUAUAUAUCGGGAAGUCUUAACUGGUUGGUUUAGGGGCCUGAUUAGUUACAGGGAGUUUUAAGAAACGGGCCCCUUGCCCAAUUCAUUCAAAUCUAUGGCAAAAUGUCUAAACUCUCUUCUUGGGUUGCAAGGGAAAUAGUUAUAUAGCCCUAUUCAUAUCUUUUUAUGCAUUGUUAGUGCCCAGAAUAAGCUCGAGGCCCAUAAAACAGUACAGUGUUUAUUUCUAUGGGAUGCUACCUGCUGAGAUAGGAAUUUUUUGACAGUGUGAGUCAUUUUUUUAUUGAAUCAAACCCAACUUCAGCGAAAAGCUAGAUCGGCUUCUGUUCCCAACCACCCUUUGCUGGGUGUGGUCACACUUCUGCAUGGAUGUUACUAGUUUAAAGUAGAAAUCAUAAUUGAAUGAUGGACUUCACAGGUUUUGUCAUAUGCAUGUAUAUUCAAUAGUACAAUUGAAUGAUAGACUUCACAGGUGUUGUCAUGCAUGGAUAUUUAAUAGUAUAAUUGAGUUGUGGACUUCACUUUCAGGACUUCUACCUAAGUGUGGUCCAAUAAAAGAUGACCAACAAGCUAUUGA